rnacentral:lncRNA from 1 species
CCCUGCUUUCUCUCUUGACUCACACUGGGACAAGCCAGUUACAUGUUCUGAGCAGCUCUUUGGAAAGGCCAACAUGACCAGGAACUGAUGUGACCCACUGACAGACAUGAGGAACUAAGGCCUCCAGCCAACAGCCUUGUGAGGGAGCCACCCUGAAGACAGGUUUUUCAAUUCGAAGGGGAGCUUCAAAUGACUGCAAUCUCAUGUGAUACCCAAGCCAGAGCCACCCAGCUGGCCAAUGCCAGAUUCCUGACUCUCAAAACUGUGCUGAAGCAGUUGUUGUUCAAGGAAUUACCUAGUUCUAGAAGUCCAUGGAGGAUAGUAUCACGAGUCCAGAUCAGCGAGGAACAGAAC